rnacentral:rRNA from 1 species
UACGUAGGCAGCGAGCGUUGUUCGGAAUUACUGGGCGUAAAGAGUGUGUAGGCGGUGCUCUAAGUUCGGUGUGAAAUCUCUCGGCUUAACUGGGAGGGUGCGCCGGAAACUGGAGUGCUCGAACGUGGGAGAGGAAAGCGGAAUUCCUGGUGUAGCGGUGAAAUGCGUAGAUAUCAGGAGGAACACCUAUUGCGAAGGCAGCUCGCUGGGACGUUACUGACGCUGAGACGCGAAAGCGUGGGGAGCAAACAGG